UACGGAGGGUGCAAGCGUUGUCCGGAUUUAUUGGGCUUAAAGGGUGCGUAGGCGGCCCGGUAAGUCAGUGGUGAAAGCCUCCAGCUCAACUGGAGAACUGCCAUUGAUACUGCCGAGCUUGAGUACAGAAGAGGUUGGCGGAAUUGAUUGUGUAGCGGUGAAAUGCAUAGAUACAAUCAAGAACUCCGAUUGCGUAGGCAGCUAACUAGGCUGUAACUGACGCUGAGGCACGAAAGCGUGGGGAGCGAACAGG
rnacentral:rRNA from 1 species